rnacentral:rRNA from 1 species
AGCAGCCGCGGUAAUUCCAGCUCCAAUAGCGUAUAUCAAAGUUGUUGCAGUUAAAAAGCUCGUAGUUGAAUUUCGGGAUCAAUUUAUUGGUCGUGCUAUUGUACGUACUGGUAUUAUUGAUUCCUACCUUCUGACGAACCAUGAUGUCAUUAAUUUGGUGUCAUGGGGAAUCAGGACUGUUACUUUGAAAAAUUAGAGUGUUUAAAGCAGGCUCACGCUUGAAUACAUUAGCAUGGAAUAACGAAAUAGGACGUUUGAUUCUAUUUUGUUGGUUUCUAGGAUCGACGUAAUGAUUAAUAGGGAUAGUUGGGGCAUUAGUAUUCAAUUGUCAGAGGUGAAAUUCUUGGAUUUAUUGAAGACUAACUACUGCGAAAGCAUUUGCCAAGGAUGUUUUCAUUAAUCAAGGACGAAAGUUAGGGGAUCGAAGACGAUCAGAUACCG